AACGAACGCUGGCGGCAUGCCUAAUACAUGCAAGUCGAACGAGAUCUUCGGAUCUAGUGGCGCACGGGUGCGUAACGCGUGGGAAUCUGCCCUUGGGUUCGGAAUAACUUCGGGAAACUGAAGCUAAUACCGGAUGAUGACGUAAGUCCAAAGAUUUAUCGCCCAAGGAUGAGCCCGCGUAGGAUUAGCUAGUUGGUAAGGUAAAGGCUUACCAAGGCGACGAUCCUUAGCUGGUCUGAGAGGAUGAUCAGCCACACUGGGACUGAGACACGGCCCAGACUCCUACGGGAGGCAGCAGUAGGGAAUAUUGGACAAUGGGGGCAACCCUGAUCCAGCAAUGCCGCGUGAGUGAUGAAGGCCGUAGGGUUGUAAAGCUCUUUUACCCGGGAUGAUAAUGACAGUACCGGGAGAAUAAGCCCCGGCUAACUCCGUGCCAGCAGCCGCCGCGG
rnacentral:rRNA from 1 species